rnacentral:Y_RNA from 1 species
GGCUGGUCUGAAGGUAGUGAGUUAUCUCAAUUGAUUGUUCACAGUCAGUUACAGAUCGAGCUCCUUGUUCUACUCUUUCCCCCCUUCUCACUACUGCACUUGACUAGUCUAAA